CUUUCUGUCUAUCUCUGAUACAUUCCAGGCUUUGCUUGUUGAUGAGGGUAAACAGGUCAUAUCACAGCAAUUUCCCAGGAAAGACCUUGAAGCCACUACCCACUUGAUUACCAGAUACUGGGCCACAUAGGAUAAAUGGUGCUGCUGUGCAAUCUUCUGCUUCUAGUUUUUACAACAGCACCAGAAUGACAGAAGAUCUGUUUUGGGUUCUGAGUUGGAUAGUUACUACCUCUUCACCUGACUUGUCUACGCUGUCAACUUGCAUAACCAGUGAAAAAUAAUGAAAUAAUGGCGAUCAACCCUCUUCUGCUCUUGGCAGCUCAGCUUUUCCAAAGCCUUAAAUCUCCAUCUCAACUGCUAUUCCUUCUUAAACAUUUCUGGAAGAAUUUGUCACCUCAAUUUACCAACUCACUAAUUUUCACUUUGCCAGUAGCUCAUGAGAAUUUUAAUUAAAAAAUGAGCUUUGGAUAGCAGAUGUAAGGUAAGCUGACAUAAUGUAAUUUGUAUUGUUA
rnacentral:lncRNA from 1 species